UAGGGAAUAUUAGUAAUGGGCGAAAGCCUGAACUAGCAACACCGCGUGUGCGAAGAAGGCCUUCGGGUUGUAAAGCACUUUUUGAGAGGAAUAGGAAGGAAUGUACUUCCAGAAUAAGUCUCGGCUAACUACGUGCCAGCAGCCGCGGUAACACGUAGGAGGCGAACGUUAUCCGGAUUUACUGGGCGUAAAGCGCGUGUAGGUGGUUCUGUAAGUAGGGCGUGAAAGCUCCUGGCUCAACUGGGAGAGGCCGUUCUAAACUACAGAACUAGAGGGUGGUAGAGGGGGGUGGAAUUCCAGGUGUAGCGGUGGAAUGCGCAGAUAUCUGGAGGAACACCAGUGGCGAAGGCGGCCUCCUGGACCAUUCCUGACACUCAGACGCGAAAGCUAGGGUAGCAAACG
rnacentral:rRNA from 1 species